rnacentral:rRNA from 1 species
CGGGGUGAGUAACACGUGGAUAAUCUGCCCUGCACAGGGGGACAACAGCUAGAAAUGGCUGCUAAUACCGCAUAAGCCUACAGCCUCGCAUGAGGGAGUAGGAAAAGAAAUUCGGUGCAGGAUGAGUCCGCGUCUGAUUAGCUAGUUGGAGGGGUAAAAGCCCACCAAGGCAACGAUCAGUAGCCGGCCUGAGAGGGUGGCCGGCCACACUGGGACUGAGACACGGCCCAGACUCCUACGGGAGGCAGCAG